rnacentral:rRNA from 1 species
GAUGAACGCUGGCGGCGUGCCUAAUACAUGCAAGUCGAGCGAACAGACGAGGAGCUUGCUCCUCUGACGUUAGCGGCGGACGGGUGAGUAACACGUGGAUAACCUACCUAUAAGACUGGGAUAACUUCGGGGAACCGGAGCUAAUACCGGAUAAUAUAUUGAACCGCAUGGUUCAAUAGUGAAAGACGGUUUUGCUGUCACUUAUAGAUGGAUCCGCGCUGCAUUAGCUAGUUGGUAAGGUAACGGCUUACCAAGGCAACGAUGCGUAGCCGACCUGAGAGGGUGAUCAGCCACACUGGAACUGAGACACGGUCCAGACCCCGACGGGAGGCAGCAGUAGGGAAUAUUGCCCAAUGGGCGAAAGCCUGAAGGAGCCAUCCCGGGUGGGUGAAGAAGGGCUUUGGGUUGUAAAACCCUUUUGUUGGGGAAGAAAAGAAGGAGAAGAAAACCCCGCUGUUUUGACGGUACCCAAAGAAAAAGCCCCGGCUAACUUCGUG